UACAGAGGUCUCGAGCGUUAGGCGGAAUCACUGGGCUUAAAGCGUGUGUAGGCGGAUGUCUAAGUACCUUGUGAAAUCCCACGGCUUAACCGUGGAACAGCUUGGUAUACUGGAUGUCUUGAGCCAUCUAGGGGCGACUGGAACGAAUGGUGGAGCGGUGAAAUGCGUAGAUAUCAUUCGGAACGCCUGUGGUGAAAACGGGUCGCUGGGGAUGUGCUGACGCUGAGACACGAAAGCUAGGGGAGCAAACGGG
rnacentral:rRNA from 1 species